rnacentral:lncRNA from 1 species
CAUUCUAGGGGGUCAUGUGACAGCAGAAUCAACUUAAUUUUUGACGAGCAACCAAAUACCGACUGACAGCAUGUAUGAGGUAUAAACACCUUGAAACUCUGGUAGUAGUCUUUUCCGAACAAUGACUGCAAGCAAACAUUUUUCUAGAACCUUUUAUCUCGUGAUCAACUAGAAACACAUUCUUCUCUUCCAAGUGCCAAACGAAACAUCCGAGUACGAGUAGGCUGCAAACGCCUGUCAAGACAAGCUUCCAUUCGAACACACGUGGCGUUUUAGGUCAAGGUUUUGGAACUCGUUGGGGCCGUUCGCACGUGACAUUUUAUUCACUAAUAAUUAAUUUGGCCCAUCUUCCUUUUGAUGUUCUACACCAAUCAUCACCCCAAGACCUCGCACGUUGGCCGACGGAUCUUCAGCACUCGUCGGAGUCAAACCCCAUCCUUGCAUUGCAACAAAGGGAAUGUUGUGGAACCCUUUGCAACAUAGCUCGUGUUGCAGAAACAUUUCACAACAUAGACGAUGUUGCAGAUUUUUUUAAAAACAUUUGCAACAGAGAUCAUGCUACCAAUAACUUUUGCAACUGAGACCAUGUUGCAAAAAAAAAAUUACAACGAAAAUGAUGUUAUAGAAACGUUGCCGCGGCCGACCUGCCAUCGUUCAUCGUCAUUGUUUAUGAGACCGCCGUGGCCGUCGUUCAUGGCACCUAACAUCCCGUACAGGCCACAAAAAGGCUGAUGUGCAGCCGUUGCCAAAGAAAUCGAGACUGCAGAGAGAACGCAACACCAGGGACACGAUGGCUUGCCUACAGAAGCGACCACUUCCCUUGUAGCAGCGUCGGUAGCAAUGCAGUGCGACAGUAGGAGUAAAAGCAACGGGCAAGGCGACGAGGUUACAAAAGUUACAGCGCCAUGAUCAGGAGCUUGAGAAAGAAGCCGUGGAAAAUUGUGGAUGGAUAACGAUGUGUUAGCGUUGGCUCACAAAAGAAAGGGAUGCUUUGGUUGGAGCUGGAUAUUUCUAAAGAAAGGUGGGACCAGAAGAGCACAAGACCAGUUGAUCCCACAUACAAUCUGACGUCUGGACGGAAGCUUUUCCCUUCAAUAUUGGGGAGCUACCCAAAUUAUUCAUAAUUUUAGCCCAACCCUAUGACCAACCUCUAGUUUAAAUCCCUUUAUUCCUUUUCCUCUCCUUUUAUGCCAAACAAAUGCCAAGCCUUGCCAAUAGACCGUGGAUAAAUUUUUGGAGCUUUGAAAUGAUUCAGAGACCACAAUUUAAGUUUUCACGGCUUUUGGAAUUCAUUUGACCCACCAAAUGUUGUCCCUCAAGCCUCCUUUUUUCCGGGGAAAUGCCACCAUGGCUAGCUCUAUUAAAUAAGACAACAAUUACAUUGUUCAUUAAUUGGCUGAUUAGGAAACCCGGGGCCUCAUUAAUCCAAUUAUCAUCACACUUAUUACAAAAGCUGAAUUUAGCUAGCUCAUGAGCUAUCGAAUUAGCAUCACGAAAAACAACGCGAAAAGAUGACCUUCCGUAUUGAUGUUGCCGUGUCAAUGCACUCAACAAAGAUUGCCGCUGUUGCAUCCCACCACUGAUUUUGCCCUUGGCACUUUGGCAGUAGUUCACCACACUCAAGGAAUAGGACUCCGCUUCAGUUCUGUCAAAAACCAAAAGUGCUUGCAAAAUUUAAACCAUCACGCAUUGCCAUAGCCUCAACCGUCGCUACAUAUGCUGCAAACAUGAAUGAAUCUGCAUUGUGCAGCAAUAAAGCGGCCUUUAUCGUUCUGUCAUAGGACAGCGCCUGUCGCACCCGAUUCCUCCUCUGCAUGAAAAGAAGCAUCCACGUUCAGUUUGAUAAAUUUCGAACCCGGCCUCUUCCAUUUGUGCAGUCACAUCCUUGUUACGGCUAACAGACUUGGUAUGACUUGCAACAACUGCCAGAAGUGAGUUGGUCCACCCGAGCCUCCUUUAUUUUUUGUCUUUAAAAGAAAAAGAAGAAUUUCACCCCCCCUCUCCCUCCCUUCUCAGUUUUUUUUUUGAGCAACUCUCUUCUAGCCCGACCCACCGUGCACAGGAUGUCAGUGCACAAGUAGAGUGUGCGCAGUCCACACAGCCGGCCCAAGCCCGCUGGACCCUCCACCUGCCCUCUCGUCUAGCGUCUUCUCCAGUGAGAGAGAUCCACAGACGCGUGCGUCGGCCGACAUCAGUGAGCAACCACCGCGGCUCUCCUCUCCCCUUGAAGCCUCCCCAGCCACCCAAAUCCUAACCCUCCCGCCGCCGCCAGGUGGGUCUCCCCCUCCGUUUCCUUCUCCACCAAGCGAACCGAGGAGCGCCAGAGCAUCGCCGGAGCAGGCCACCGCGGCCAGCGUGCUCCGCCAGCGUUUUCUUCGUGACCGGGAGCCCCGACUGCACGACUGCUUCCUCUGCUCGGACGACCUCGAGCUCGGACGCCUCCACGCCGUCGAAUUGGUCGACCUCCUCCUCUUCGGCCUGUUCGCCGUCACCGUCCAAAUUCGCCGCCGGCCGACCUCCUCCCGCCCGUUCGGCUACGCCAGCAUCACCAGGUGAGCAGCCGCGCCAAAAGCCCCAGCCUCUCCCCCCCUCGAUUUCGUCCUCGGAGCACGAUCUCCGCGAGCGCCACCGUCGGCCACCGCUCGGUUUGGUCGCCGGCGUCGUUCCGAUAGUUGCUAGGUCACGCGCGUCGCGUCGCUAGACUAACACGAGCAAGUAGACCUCUCGCUUUUAAAACCAACAUUAGGCUCAGACGACUUAAAUGGCCCAAUUAAAUUAUUGCCCUCUCACCUGAGGCAAAUGCUUAUUGAUGCAGGGAAGAAGAAAAUGAACACCAUGCCGUCAGAAAAUGCUGAAAGGAGGGGAAGCGUGCUUGAUAAUCCGCAAAAGCAGCUGGAUGAGGUAAUCUGCUUUUGCAUCCCAAUUACUUUGUGCUUUCUUUUUAUAAUAUAUAGUUCCUGGAUAGCCUUGAAAUUGUUCACUAUUGCUAAAUUGCUUUCCUGCAUUUCUCUUCUGGUGCUAGAUCAUCUAACUUUUUUCAGUAUUAUUCUUUGUCAUCGUCAGUCUGUCCUCGAUAUGCAACUUUAUGGAAAAGCUCUAGAUGUGUUUGAGGAUGAUCCUGCUACCUCUGUAAGCUGCUAUAGCCUACGGGCAUUGUUCUCACAACAUUGCUUGCUACUCAAUACGUUAUCAGCCUUUACUUAGGUCCUUUUCUUUACCUGUUUUCUGGUUUUCAGGGCAUAUUACACGAUCAUCUGCUAAGAACUAUGGGUACUCCAGUAGCCGACAAGAUUUUAUUUAGUCUGGUAACUUCUAUAAGCUCACACAGUGGGGUUGCCUGCAAGAUUAUAAUUCAUAAAUAAUUUCGUGAUGUAUCCGUUUUGGCUUUAAUUUUCCCUUGGAACAGUCCCUUCCCUACUUGUGAUCUUUCUUGCGCCACGAACUAUGAAACUGUGACUACCUUAUGAAUUAUAAUCUGAAUAGUUUAAAAGGUUUUGUGACCUACUUCUCUGACUAGCACGUGUACUUUGCACUGAACUACCGAUAGGAUAAGGACAACAAAUUGAAGAAUGGAAUGGAGUUUGAAGGCAGUGAAGAACAGCAUGUUCAGCUCAGCACUACGGAGCGUACUUUUCUGGUACAGUUCACUUAUUUCAUUUUUCCAUAUGUCAAUCCUGUGUGAAAAUGUCAUUUUGUUUAACUUUGUGGGUUGCUCUUUUUUGUUAAAAAAAAUUAGGCGAAGGAUCUUCCAGGGCAAUUGUCAUCGAAGGCUCAAGCUUUAGUCGAAGCACUGGAGGGAAAGGUUUGUCUGUAACCAAGAAAUAUUGUUUGACAAAUUGAUUGAAGCCUUGAAGUCCUUAGUUCUGUAUUUUUCUUGUUCUAAAUCUAGUAUGCAUAACAGCCUAAAUUCUGGUAAUAUGUUAGCACCUACAGUUAACAAUCAAACAUACCACAAAAACUUUAGUCUGGGUCUCUGGGUACAGCAGACAUUUGGAUGAUUAACAUGAUACAAUACUAUACAUUUUUGAGGCAAUGAAUCUGUAUAUAGAUGAAGUUCUUCCGUGAAGCUUCCUGCAUUAUGUUAAUCACCAGAUUGCCAAGAUUCUAUGUUGUAAAUACCCAACAUUCACAAUUUCUUGUUUGCUGCCUAUACCCUGUAAAACACCCUGUCAUUCUGUAGACUAACCACGAAACCCACUUCAUGUUAAUUUUCUGUGUGUUCUAUGACAUCAAUUAUUUGAUCCUGUAAUAACUAGUCAAUUAUAUAAGAUUGCAUGUAAGAAAGAUCUUCCUCACCAAUCUGUUAUACUUUGCUAGUUGAUAAAAUGUGCAUGUUCCUAAGCAUAUGACUUGUGAGUUCUUUGUUGUCUAAACACAUACACUAAAUAAAAAACCAAUAAGUGACUGUUGCUAUGUCUUUGAGAUCCACAACUUCUAAUAUAACUGGACUUUGUAGCUCUUUCUAACCUUUUCUCGAAAUCCACAACAGCGGUUUGAUUCAUUUAUGGACGCCUUAAGAGAUACAGCAGAGGAAAGGUAACAUUUUAUAUUUGUACUUGAUUUCCGCAUUGGCUGGAUUAUCAAAGUGCUUACUCUCUUUUUCAGUGGAUUGUUAUUUAAGAAGCUUGAUGAAAGACUUGAGCGAUCAAUGCUGCAUUCCCACCACAAGGUAUGUUCUUGGUAUCUUCUAUCUUGAUGGUAGUAUCAGAGCGUCUGGAAAACCAGUGGGAACUGACUUUCUUGAUCUGGGCCUAUCAGGUUUUUAGUUUUUGCUGGUUUAGUCCCUAAACGUUCCCCUUUGAUCCCCAGUUCAGGUGGAAUGAGUAUAUUAUCAGUUCAUCAUUUAUUUGAUAUGCCCCAAACACUGAUUGUUUCUUGUGUUUUCAUAUUCUAAACUUAGCAAACCGCACAAAUAACCUGAACCAUUCUGGUAGCACUUUUAAAAACCCUGUCUUACAGUACGAUCUUUGUUUCUAUGAAAAUAUGGUAUUCUCCACGGUUAAAAAAUUUGUUGUUUCUUGUGUUUUUAAGCAUCAAAGUAGUGCAAGUACAGAAUAGCAGAAUGCAAGUCAAAAUCACCACGAUAAUAUAAAUUUACCAAGAUUAUUAGACUCGUAGGCGCUCUUAUAGAUUGGUAGGGUGUGAAUUCAUACAUGCUAAGUUUCUUUAUGGAUGAAUUCUAGUGCUAAUUAUUUGACAGCUUACUUUCUAUGAAUUGAAGGAUUUGAUAGCACAAGUUUCUUCAGAAACUGAUCCAGUUUCCUUCCUCCCAAAAGUUGCUGCUCUACUUUUUCUCCAGGUUUGCUUGAUUGUAUCUUUCCUGAAAUAACACUCCUGCUUUCUCUCUGUAUUUACAGACUGACCAGAGAAACAUCCUUUUGGAAUAUUUUGUAGGCAUACAACAAGGCUCUUCAGGCACCUGGAAGUGCUGUUGGUGCUGUCAUCACACUACUGAAGGUAAUUUUUUAUUUGCAUUCGCUUUAAAAUAUACUUAAUGCAAGUCAAGUAGAAUAUGUUAACUUUUACUAACAGUAUCCUGAUCACAGAAUCCUUGAUACUAUAUUUGUCUGAUAUGUUGAAACAGCAUAAAAGAUAUUAUAAUUCCUGUACGUAGCUCCACGGCCUCACCAUUAUUUCCAGAAACUAGUGUUAACCAUCAAAUUCCUGCCGGCUUUUGGAUCGAUGAUCGACAGUUCUCUGCAUACUAGCCAUAGUAUCUUAGCCCCUUGGGUUUUAGUUUUAUAGCAGGCUUACAGAAUUAGGAUGUUUUGGCCUGUCUGUGAUGUUGGGUUAUUUCACAUAUUCAGAUAUAACACUGUUAAUUUUAGCAAAAUCUUUACCUGUGUGAUCAUCUGCCUCUGUUUUUCAGGACAAGCUACCAGCUGCAACCUUCAAGGUUUUAACUGAAUGUCACGCCACCACCGUGAAACUUCUCGCACUACAAGAUGCUGCUACGGGUGAUGUAAGUCCCACUCCAACAAUCUCGAAUACAUCAGUGCUCACUGUUGUGUGCAUUAGAAAAGGAUUAGUUUGUUAUAUCCUCCCAUAACUUUCAUCCGGGCUCUGCCCUGAACUCUAUACAUGUACUCUUAAUUUCUAUUUCGAGCUCUCCCCAUUUACCUGAAAUCAUCUGCUAUGGUCAAACAGUAACUACAUUGGAUUCAUGCAUUAACAUUUCUUUUGUCGGUAUCUAUCAUCUGCCGUGUGGAAAAACUACAAAAGAACUUGGACUACUGUCUGCGCCGCUCAUGCGUGCAAUGAUGCAUUGUCUCAUUUUUGCCAUGCAGGAAGACGAUUGCACAUCGGACCGAAUGCUGGAGAAGAAGGAAGACCUAGAAGAGAGGCUGAUGCCAGAACUCAAAUCCCUGGCCCUCGGCACGAGCAAAGAGCAGUGAGCAGGAAACAUUGUGUGCGUGGUGGUGCCCCAUGCCCUCGUGUAUGUAAAUGCACAGAUCUAUCUACCUAUCUAUCCUCCUCGGCACUGGAGCUGUGGCUGUUUCGUGUGAUAGCAGAAUCAACUUCUUAAAUGUUUAACGAGCAACCACAGCAUGUAUGAACUUCUUAAACACCUUGAAACUCUGCUACUUCCUUUCUGAACAAUGACUGCAAGCAAAUGUUUUUCGAGAACCUUUUAUCUUGUGAUCCACUAGACACCCAUUCUUUUCUUCAACUGCCACGCGAAACAUCCAAGUAUGAGAAGGCUGCAAACGCCCGUCACGGCAAGCCUCCAUUCGAACUCCAUUUGAAUGCACGUGGCAUUUUCAGUC